AAAUCUUGUGAAGAUUACAGAAGUCCAGGCCACCAUGCAGGAGCUGUCCAAAGAAAUGUUGAAGGCUGGGAUCGUAGAGGAGAUGUUAGAGGGCACUUUUGAAAGCAUAGAAGAUCAGUAAGAAAUAGAGAAAGAAGCAGAAAUGGAAAGUGACAAAAUGCUGUUUGAAAUUAUAUCAGGGGUCUACGGCCAUACCACCCUGAAUGCACCUGAUCUCGUCUGAAAUUACAGCAGGGGCCUUGGGCAAAGCAAAGUGACUGCUGUCCUUCUAGAGCCAGAAUCUUCAAGAGCGAUGGCCGCCUCAGAGGACAAGGAGGAAGAAGAGGCUCUGGAGCCCAUGCAGUCCUGGCUGGUUACACUCUG
rnacentral:lncRNA from 10 species